rnacentral:lncRNA from 1 species
GUCGUAAAAGGGGACGCGGAGGAGAAGGAAAGUCGCUCAAGCAGUGGACAGAGCGGAGAAAGCGACUUCGGGUUGGUUGAAGGUUCAGCCUGAGAAAACUCCUGAGCAUGUGCGAAAAAGAAAAGAAGAAAAGAAAAGUAAAGAAAAGAAAAAAGGAAAAAGGGCAAGCUCCUGAGUGGAUCUCUCAGGGAGCCACCAGACAGUGAAUGAAGGAGGGAAGAAAGGAGAGACAGAGAAAAUAUGGAUUUCCUCAUGGUUGUGAUUCCUCUUCACUCUUUUGAAUUUGGAAGGAUGGCAUACACAUCUGAAAAAUACCACUACUUCCUUCAUUGGACUGCAAGGUAUUUCUGUUUGGAAAAGUAAUGGAGUCCAGUCAACUUCAUUGAUCGCCAAGGACUGUCAAAAUUAUAAAACUUGCUGUGGAGCUCUGACAUGCCAGAAGCCGCUAGAAAAAGAAGUUUGACAUUCAGAAACUUAUCAAGAGGUUCUACUCUUUGGAUAGAGACCAAAAUCAUACUUUGAAAAAGCCUGACAGGUUUCUUCGGAAAAGUGGCCAUCCAUGGAAUGAAUGAAAUGUUCUCUUUCUAUUCCACCUCUAGAGACCAUCAAAAAACAAUGGCUCAUAAUGCUUUUAGAACAGAAACUGAAGUUGUAUACUGUGCAUAUGUAAUCCUACACAAGAGGAAGGCAAUGUUUAAAGCUGCUGUCACCUCUUAGGGAAAAAACUGGAAUUCUGAGUCAAGGGAUUGCAGUGGCAAAGCUAGGCUAGGUCUUGGAGGCUGGUGUAAGGCGAUGUGGGUGAAGGCAGGAGGCUGAUGGAAAGACUGGGGGGAAGAAAAGCCGAAAUGGAUUCACGGUGCCUUGGAUGAAGGACGAGAGGGGAACUGCAAGCUCCUUCAACUGGUUCUGUCCGGUGAGAAGUGAUCAAGCUUGGGCUGACAAGAGGCUCAGGGAGCCCUCACGUUCUUUCGCUUUUUUACCUGCCAAUCAAACUGCUACAAGACAACACCCUGAUCUGGCAUGGACAUCGCGGGUCCAAGCCUGUAGCCCCAAAUCGGAUAAUCUCUGCAGCUGAUAACAAGCAAAAGAGAAGCCAGGCAACAGCCAUAUUAAAGAAGAAAACAAUCAACUCUGAGUCUCAAUACCUUCACAGAGGUGAAGAAGCAGCAACCAAAUGAAUUAGACAGCAACAUGAUUCCUAGAGAAUGGCAAGACCAAUUCUUCAACUACUUCUUCAGCAUUUCUGAAACAUAUGGAAGAUGGCCCAUUGUGCUCUCUUAAUUCUUUGAUAAUCUGGACAUUGACUUUUCCAUUAUAUGACCUGGGCUUGUGGGCAUCAUGUCAUAAUGCACCUGUUCAGACAUCUCCCUGUACCAAUAUGGAUCACUUGAAGAGACUCCUUUGCCCCCAUCAAAAAGGAUACAGUUGUGUAUCUCUUCCAUUUUUGUUUACAGUGCCUAAAAUUAUUUGAGCAGUUUUUCACCUCUUCUCUGAUAAACACCUUAUUAGUCCUUAAAAAGAAAAGAAAAAAGGAAAAUAAAACUUUUAUUGAGAUCCUAA